UCUUUUGGACCAGUUUAUUGUCAUCAUAUUUUACUAUUUUUUAAUAAGAUUGUAUGUUGUGUCAUUUUCGGUUGGGCCACCCAAACUUUAAAUAUAUGAAGUAUAUAUUUCCCCAUCUCUUCUCUAAAGUUGAUGUCUCCUCUUUAUCUUGUGAUAUUUGUAUACGGGCCAAACAACAUCAGGUCUCCUUCCCCUCACAACCAUAUAAAUCAACCCAACUGUUCACCCUUAUCUAUAGCGACAUUUGGGGUCCAUCCAAGGUCACUACCUCCUUUGGGAAACGGUGGUUUGUGACUUUUAUUGAUGAUUAUACUCGUCUUCUUAUCACUGAUAAAUCUGACGUUUUCUCUAUUUUCCAGAACUUCUAUCACACUAUUGAACACAGUUCAAUGCAAAAAUUUUGAUUCUUCGAAGUGAUAAUGGUCAGGAGUUUCAAAACCAUACCCUUAGUGAGUUCCUAGCCUCCAAGGGUCGGUCACUAGAGCUUAUGUGCUUACACCCCUUAACAAAAUGGGGUUAUCGAGCGAAAAAAUCUGUCAUCUUUUGGAAGUAGCUCAUUCCCUUAUGUUGUUACUUCCCUUCCUUUAUAUACGCGGGAUGUUUUCACUGUAGUUUAUCUCAUUAAUAGGAGAAAUCUUAGAAUGGAAAUUGAAUCCCCUACUGAUUAGCCAACUCUGGUCCAAGACUCUGAACCUCUUCAAGAUUAAGAUAUGAGAGAAAAUGACAAUGUUGAUGAGAUUGAGAUCAAAGCAGAAAUUGGUGGUAAUGAGGCUGAACAAGGUCAUUCAGGUAAUCUUGAUGAGUAUGAUCCUUCUCUAGACAUUCUCAUUGCGCUGAGAAAAGGUAUUAGGUCUUACAUGAAACACCCUAUUUGUAACUAUAUUUCCUAUGAUAGUCUAUCUUUACAGUUCGGGGCCUUCACAGCUAGCCUUGACUCUAUCGUGAUAUUGAAAAGUAUUCACAUUGCUUUAUAGAGUCCUAAAUGGAAAAUUGCUGUUAUGAAAGAGAUGAGGACCCUUGAAAAGAAUAAGACUUGAGAGAUCUAUGCUCCCUAAGGGACAUAAAACUGUGGAAUGUAAACGAGUGUCACCCUCAAAUACAAGGUAGAUGAAACCGUUGACAGACACAUGGCGAGGUUAGUUGCAAAAGGGUUUACUCAGAAACUUUUCCCCAGUUGCUAAACUAAAUGCAGUUAGAGUUAUGUUAUCUUUUGCUAUGAACAAAGAUUGACGACGUCUAUAUCAGCUAGAUGUUUUUUUUUAAAAGGAUAUGAAUCUCACUAUUAUUAAUAUAAAUAAAGAGACAAAGCUCAAUGUACAUGAGGAUUAUACAAAGAGCAAUAGGGGAGAGAGGAUUUGCGUUCUUGAAUGGACACUUGGAAGAGGAAGUUUAUAUGAGCCCCCAAGGUUUGAAGCCUAGUUUGGUCAUCGGGUUUAAACUUCAGAAAUCUUUAUAUGGACUGAAACAGUCACCGAGUGUUUGAUAGGUUUACUACCUUUGUCAAGUCCGAAUGGAACAGCCAGGGACACUUGAACAACGCUUUGUUUACAAAAGUCUCCAAGGCUGGGAAGAUCGCAGUAUUGGUAAUUUAUGUUGAUGAUAUCGUUUUAUCUGGGGAUAACACUGCUAAAAUCAUCCAAUUGAAAAAGUGGAUGGGUGAUGAGUUCGAAAUCGAAGUUUGGUCAUUGGGUUUAAACUUCAGAAAUCUUUAUAUGAAUUGAAACAGUCACCGAGUGGUUUGAUAGGUUUACUACCUUUGUCAAGUCUCAAUGGUACAGUCAGGGACAUUCAGACCACGCUUUGUUUUCAAAAGUUUCCAAGGCUGAGAAGAUCGCAAUAUUGGUUAUUUAUGUUUAUGACAUUGUUUUAUCUGGGAAUGACACUGCUGAAAUCAUCCAAUUGAAAAAGUGGAUGGGUGAUGAGUUUGAAAUCAAAGACUUGGAAAAUCUGAAAUAUUUUCUUGGGAUGGAGGUUGCUAGAUCUAAAACAGGUAUCUCCGUAUCUUAAAGGAAGUAUACCCUUGUUUUGUUGACCGAGACAAGUGUGCUGGGAUGUCGUCCUGCUGAUACACCCAUUGAAUUCAACUGUAAAUUGGAAAAUUCAAAUGAUAAAGUUCUAGUUGAUAAAGAACAAUAUCAGUGCCUCGUGGGUAAUUUGAUUUACUUGUCACAUACUCGAUCAUAUAUUCCUAUGUUGUGAGUGCCGUUAGCCAUUUCGUGCAGGCUCGUUAUGAGGAGGAACAUAUGGAGGCAGUUAACAAGAAUCUUGAGGUACUUAAAAACAACUCUUAGUAAAGGAUUUUUUAGAAAGACAAACAUGAAAGCUAUUGAGGCAUAUACUGACUUUGACUUGGCAAGGUCUAUUGUUGACAGGAUAUCCACCUUCGGUUGCCAUACCUGUGUAUGGGGCAAUCUUGUAACUUGGAGGAGUAAGAAGCAAGGAGUUGUGGCCAGAAGCAGUGUUGAGACUGAGUACAGGGCUAUGGGUUUGGGGAUAUGUGAGGAAAACUGGCUCCAGAAAGUUGUAUAUGAUCUUUAUCAGGAUUGUGAGGUGUCGAUGAAAUUAUUAUGUGAUAACAAGGCAGCUAUUAGCACCGUCACAAUCUAAUUCAACAUGAUAGAACUAAGUGUGUGGAGAUUGAUUGACACUUCAUUAAAGAAAAGACUAGACAAUGGUAGCAUAUGUUGUUGAUGUUCUCACCAAGGGGUUUCUUAUACAAAACUUUGACAUUUUUGUAAGGAAGUUGGGUCUCAUUGAUAUCUACAUCUCAACUCAAGGGGGAGUGUUAGAAUUAGUAGGCUUGGCCCAAGGAAGGAUUUAUCCUAAUAUCCUUUCCUUUUUUUAAUCAUAAGUUGUAACCUAUUUAUCUUCCCUCUUGUGUUGUAUCUUUUGUUAAUAUGAGAAAUUAAUAAGAUAGUCAAUCGUGGUUCUUUUCUCGGUA